rnacentral:rRNA from 1 species
CUGGUAUUGAUUGGUGCUUGCAUCAUGAUUUACAUUUGAGUGAGUGGCGAACUGGUGAGUAACACGUGGGAAACCUGCCCAGAAGCGGGGGAUAACACCUGGAAACAGAUGCUAAUACCGCAUAACAACUUGGACCGCAUGGUCCGAGCUUGAAAGAUGGCUUCGGCUAUCACUUUUGGAUGGUCCCGCGGCGUAUUAGCUAGAUGGUGGGGUAACGGCUCACCAUGGCAAUGAUACGUAGCCGACCUGAGAGGGUAAUCGGCCACAUUGGGACUGAGACACGGCCCAAACUCCUACGGGAGGCAGCAGUAGGGAAUCUUCCACAAUGGACGAAAGUCUGAUGGAGCAACGCCGCGUGAGUGAAGAAGGGUUUCGGCUCGUAAAACUCUGUUGUUAAAGAAGAACAUAUCUGAGAGUAACUGUUCAGGUAUUGACGGUAUUUAACCAGAAAGCCACGGCUAACUACGUGCCAGCAGCCGCGGUAAUACGUAGGUGGCAAGCGUUGUCCGGAUUUAUUGGGCGUAAAGCGAGCGCAGGCGGUUUUUUAAGUCUGAUGUGAAAGCCUUCGGCUCAACCGAAGAAGUGCAUCGGAAACUGGGAAACUUGAGUGCAGAAGAGGACAGUGGAACUCCAUGUGUAGCGGUGAAAUGCGUAGAUAUAUGGAAGAACACCAGUGGCGAAGGCGGCUGUCUGGUCUGUAACUGACGCUGAGGCUCGAAAGUAUGGGUAGCAAACAGGAUUAGAUACCCUGGUAGUCCAUACCGUAAACGAUGAAUGCUAAGUGUUGGAGGGUUUCCGCCCUUCAGUGCUGCAGCUAACGCAUUAAGCAUUCCGCCUGGGGAGUACGGCCGCAAGGCUGAAACUCAAAGGAAUUGACGGGGGCCCGCACAAGCGGUGGAGCAUGUGGUUUAAUUCGAAGCUACGCGAAGAACCUUACCAGGUCUUGACAUACUAUGCAAAUCUAAGAGAUUAGACGUUCCCUUCGGGGACAUGGAUACAGGUGGUGCAUGGUUGUCGUCAGCUCGUGUCGUGAGAUGUUGGGUUAAGUCCCGCAACGAGCGCAACCCUUAUUAUCAGUUGCCAGCAUUAAGUUGGGCACUCUGGUGAGACUGCCGGUGACAAACCGGAGGAAGGUGGGGAUGACGUCAAAUCAUCAUGCCCCUUAUGACCUGGGCUACACACGUGCUACAAUGGAUGGUACAACGAGUUGCGAACUCGCGAGAGUAAGCUAAUCUCUUAAAGCCAUUCUCAGUUCGGAUUGUAGGCUGCAACUCGCCUACAUGAAGUCGGAAUCGCUAGUAAUCGCGGAUCAGCAUGCCGCGGUGAAUACGUUCCCGGGCCUUGUACACACCGCCCGUCACACCAUGAGAGUUUGUAACACCCAAAGUCGGUGGGGUAACCUUUUAGGAACCAGCCGCCUAAGGUGGGACAGAUGAUUAGGGUGAAGUCGUAACAAGGUAGCCGUAGGAGAACCUGCGGCUGGAUCCCUUUCCUUUCUAGCUGGAUC